rnacentral:lncRNA from 1 species
AAAUUAUCUUAUGAAAUUUAUUAUUUUUUAAAAUGAAAAAAAAGUUAAAACUAUCGAUAUUUAGGUAAUAAAAAUAUUUAGAGUUUUACAGCUAAUUUACAACGCCCCUGUUAAAUAUUCUAUACCGAGUGCGCAACAAUGACAGAAUUUAGAAAACCAUCAAAAUAGUAUGAUUCUCCGUAUGUGAUUGGAAGAGUCAACUUGAACACUUUAAACUGAUCUGAACAAACUGCACGAGGCAUUGCAAAUGUUUACUCGGUGUUGUAUUGAUUCUUGACUGGCUGUUAAUUUUAUACAAGCUAAAGACGACCUUAUUUUGAAUAUAAUUUUGAAAGAGUCAGACCGCUAUUAACUGGUUAUGCACAAGGC